CUCCUUUUUCUUCUCUUUUCAAUUUUUCUUCUUUUACACCCAAAAGAAGAUGGAAUAGAGGGCAGAGAUCGCUUUGAGUUGUACAGUCUUGAGUUCUCUCUUACUCCUUUGCCCAGAGAAACCUUGGAGACCCUAAGAAACCUUGCCAAUCCUAAGAACAGAGGCUGUUAAUGAGGUCGCUGUGCCUGAAGCCAACUGCGGGGUGCCUGGAUGGUGGAAUGUGUGCAUAAGAGAAGAAAACACACAGUCCAGCCAGGGGAAGAAACAGAGAAGAAAGCCUGAGAAGACUUCUGCCCGGAGCAGAGGUGACAGGGAUGCAAAGCCCGAGGAUCGGUGUGUCGAGGAGUAGCCUGGAAAGUGAUUCAGAAUUCCUCUUUGGCCACAAAGUUCUUGACUGAGGGUUAACUUACCUCAGUGCUAUGUCUCAUAGUCUUUCAUACGUCCAGCCCUUCA
rnacentral:lncRNA from 1 species